rnacentral:lncRNA from 10 species
CUGGAAGGUAGCCACCAGCUGGGAUGAUGGGGCUGUCCCCACAACAAAGGCCCCUUUUUGGAGAUCCCUGGGGCUCAGGAGCCAGUGAGUCUGUCUUUGGGGAAGAUAAGGCAGAGGGCCAACCCUCACGACCCACGAGUGUGGCAUGUCCAUGACCAGAGACCAAGGCCAGGCUUGCGACAUGAAAAGGUGAGUGUCAAUGACCUAAGUAUUAAUAGAGAACUGCGGCAUCAUCUCACCCAGAACCAUCUCUCCCCACAUAGCAGGGUCCACUUUUCUUGAGAUUAGGUCCGUUUUAUGUUUUACAUUUCCCUUCACUUUUCAGAAAAAUGGCCCCAAGUGGGACUGCCUUUUUUUAAUUCCAAGGAACAGCACCGGCCACAUCAGCACUGUUCUCGCCUCUGCCUCCAAGCUCUGUUUCUCAUCUGGCUGCUGAGAGAAGUUGCUGUUGCUCUGCCAGCAAAAUGUCUCUAGGAAGAAAGGAAUGGAAAAUAUGAGGAAAUUUCCUUACAAAAUCUCAAAGAAUCCUCGCUCAGCAUAACCAGUGAGAAUUAGCUGCACAAUGAACCACAUCGGAAAAGGCGAUCAUAAUUCCUCAGUGCCUGAUGCCCACCCAGAUUUACAGCAGGACCGCUCUUUGUGGAUCCACAAAAGGUUUCCACGUUGAGGGAGAGCUUCCCAAAUGGGACCGAAGACAUGAAUCUCAUAGGUGAGGACCCUCACUGGGGAGUCCUGAUGGAGAGAUGGGACCAGCCACCCUGGAACCUGAAUAAGGAAUUUGAAGACUUGGACUUGGGGCUGGAAAUGCCAUUUUACUUGGAAAUAAGAAAAUUUAUAUGGAAUAUAAAUAUGCAAGUGAAGUACUGAGGAUGAUUUUCAGAACCUUCUUUGUAGAUAAUUACACCCAGAUGGAGGCAAGAGAAUCAUUUAACCCGGGAGGCUGAGGUUGCAGUGAGCGGAGAUUGCACCACUGCACUCCAGGUUGGGUUACAGACUUUUUCUUUUUUCUACAACCAUGACAAUCCCAACUCAGCUCAUAGGGACUAACAAGAAAGUGGACUCUACAGUCUCUAUAGCAACACUGGAGUGGAGGAGGCAAGCUAACUCUAAGUUGUUAUGUUGAUGGUGGCUGAUCAUCAGGCAUGUUUAGUACCAAAGUUCUCGAACAUGUAUGCUUGAAUGUACACCCUACAUGAUUUCUUUGUAAUGUUCUUUUUCCAUCCCAUGACUCCACCCAAAUUCUCCACUCACUAUCUCCCACUGUAUGGUUUUAUGGGGCUGCUCAUCCAAGGACCGUACUGGUACAGUAUUCUCAAUUCCUUCCAUUAUCAUAUUGUUAUAAUAAAAAUGUUAUUUUUGUAUCCUAGGUAACCCAAUU